rnacentral:lncRNA from 1 species
AUGCAUGCCGGCCAAGUGUGGCCGGCCCGGCUUAACGUGUGGGCUUUGCUGCCUGUGGCUUUUUUCUUUUCUUUUCUUUUCUUUUGGCUGCCUCUCGGCCUACGUGGUCGAGUUUCCCACGAUGCACCGCAUCUCUCUUCUCUCGCGGCUAUCCCUCCGCACACUUUUGGGCAAUUUUUCCAAGAUCCUUCCUUUGGGCCGGGGUCCUCUGUUUUUUUUCUCUCUCUCUCUAGGGGAUGCAUGCCGGCCAAGUGUGGCCGGCCCGGCUUAAUGUGUGGGCUUUGCUGCCUGUGGCUUUUUUCUUUCUUUUCUUUUCUUUUGGCUGCCUCUCAGCCUACGUGGUCGAGUUUCCCACGAUGCACCACAUCUCUCUUCUCCCGCGGCUGUCCCUCCGCACACUUUUGGGCAAUUUUUCCAAGAUCCUUCCUUUGGGGCGGGGUCCUCUGUUUUUUUCUCUCUCUCUCUCUAGGGGAUGCAUGCCGGCCAAGUGUGGCCGGCCCGGCUCAAUGUCUGGGCUUUGCUGCCUGUGGCUUUUUUCUUUCUUUUCUUUUCUUUUGGCUGCCUCUCGUCCUACGUGGUCGAGUUUCCCACGAUGCACCGCAUCUCUCUUCUCUCGCGGCUGUCCCUCCGCACACUUUUGGGCAAUUUUUCCCAGAUCCUUCCUUUGGUGCGGGGUCCUCUGUUUUUUUUCUCUCUCUCUCUAAGGGAAGCAUGCCGGCCAACUGUGGCCGGCCCGGCUCAACGUGUGGUCUUUGCUGCCUGUGGCUUUUUACUUUCUUUUCUUUUCUUUUGAUUUUGCUGCCUAUCGGCCUACGUGGUCGUGUUUCCCACGAUGCACCGCAUCUCUCUUCUCUCGCGGCUGUCCUUCCAUUCAUAUUUGGGCAAUUUUUCCAAGAUCUUUCCUUUGGGACGGGGUCCUCUGGUUUUUUUCUCUCUCUCUCUCUCUACGGGAUGCAUGCCGGCCAACUGUGGCCGGCGCAGGGUGGGGUCUUUGCUGCUGAGAUAGACAUUGGGGUUCGGAUCCCCACGGGGAUUUUUCUUUCUUCUUUUUUCUCCAUCUUGGACAUUGCGGUUCGGAUCACCACGUUGAUUUUUUCUUUCUUUUUGCUCCAAUUUUUCCCACUCCCCCUGCCAGUGCUUUUAAUGGAUCCAAACCCUCAUGUGUAUCUCAGCAGCUAA